ACAAACAUGCAUACGAGAACUACGGUAAAUAUAAUGGUG
rnacentral:guide_RNA from 1 species